GUUUUGACAAAUAACUUUCUUACAUUUACUGUGGUAAAUAUUCACAUUGGUAUAUUGCAAAAUGUCAUGGUAAAGGAAAAAGUCCCUCCCUGAUGAAUCAUUUCAGAGUUAUCUAAUUACUUAUACAAUGGACUUCUUUUCAGGAUUCAAACUUGGUUCUGAAAAGCACACCACAGAGGUCACCGUGAAGAAGUCUGGAAGCCUGCUUAUAAAUUCUGGGAUACAAGGAUACUCCCUGCUAAAGACAACUCAGUCUGGAUUUGAAGGAUUCGUGAGGGAUCGCUACACCCUUCUUCCUGAAACAAGAGAAAGAAUUGUAGCUACAGAAGUAACUGCUUGGUGGAGAUGAGAGUCUGGAAUGUUCCAUCCAAAUAGUUUAAUCAGAAACUGCACUGGCAAAGGUCUAGAGGAUGUAGAGGAGCUCCAGUUUGAUCCUAAGGAUGGCAUUGCUUUUUUUUUUCUUCUUAUGUUCCAGUUUGCAGCAACAUCUCCGACACCCUCUCGACGAAUUGCAGGUAGAUUGUAGCUGAGGAUGCGGCGAUGACCACCGAGGACCGGAGUGCAUGCUCGGUGGCAGAAGCAUCAGGGUGCUCCACGCUCAACAUCUUCUCAGCAUAGCUGCUCGAUCAGUAGUUUUGAUUGAUCUAUUUGAUAAUUUAAGCCAUCCAGUUGAUGUUCUUGGUUCGCUCAUGCUCUUUUCUUAUGUUGUUGUUUAAUCACUAUUGGCUUGGAUAUUCUCUAUAGCAUCUCAACAAUUCACUGCAAUUGGCCAGGUUAUUCUGUAUAUUUGAUACUGUACGAGAGUAGCAGUCGGACUCAAAAAAUCACAACAUUCUGCAGGUCCAAAUUUACAUUGAUUGUUUAGUGGUUCAUCGAAAUUCUUCUGCCUAUGACUUUGAAAUUGGCCAGUAAAAGCCAACAUCCACCCUCUUCACAGCCGCAGUCAGGGAUUCGUUCAUUUUAGUGUGAGUAAGGAUGGGAACAUUGAUCUAUAUAUGUACUUCUGGAUGACAAAGACUUCGAGUUCUGUGUGAAGCUCCAAAAGGAAUACCUAUAAGACUCCUUCAUCAACUUAGUAAGAUUGCAUAUGCCCUUUGCGUUGCACAGGUCCAACGCCUCGCUCCUCUACUCAUAGUGAAAAAAAACUUAGGUACUCUGAAAUUUAUCUUUUCUUCCCCUCACGCUUUGUUAGGUUAGAUCAAUAGUUUUAUCUUAUUGGACCUGUGCAUUUUGAGAGUCCGAAAUGGGAACAUUAAAUUUACUUGGACCCUAUCUUAUUCUCAUAUCUGUAACUAGCUUUCCUUGUCAUUUAGAAGGGACGACCUAAGGAGUAGAGAGAUUCGAGGCAAUCAAAAUCCUGCAUAUGUAUGUUUACAGGCGUUUGAUAAUCCUACGCCAGGGCCACAUAUAUAGGGACAUUCAAAAUUCUACACCAGGUUCACGUAUAUAGGGACAUAUUCAGCUGAGGUUCACGUAUAUACAAACCUGAAACUGUAUGCUUCAAACCGGAUGUGGCAGUAAUCCACUCAUCAUGCAAAACAAAACAAAAAUCUGUUACCUAGCAUGUAUUUGUUUGUACAGAUGAUGCAAUGUACUACAUUUUGUUUGCAUAAUACAUCACCUAGCAUGUAUUUGUUAUAAUCGAGCACCGCGACGAAUCUGUUAUUUACCUUAGGAGGGUAAGAAAAAACACAAUCAAUGAUAUUAUACAUAAUUCUAGACAUUGUUUUAGAGUAUGUUAUAAAGUAUAUUUUUCUUCUAGUAAAUGUUGGAAAUGUCUAUGUACUUUUUUCUCCCAAUAUGUUAUGGUCAUUUUCCUGCUAUGCGUAUAAAUUUCAUGGCCAGCUUACCAACUGGUGGUUGGCGAUCCUUUCUAUCUUCUUCCUCGCCGGCUCGAUAAAUCUCUCGGUUUCCUUCUCCUACCACUCUUCCUCCCUUGUGCUCUGUAACUCGGCCAUUGAUGUGGCUGUUAGUAAUAAGAUGGUAAUAUUUGUUUUAUAGAAAUACUUGUUUUUUGCGGGUGUUUAGAAAUACUUGUUAGUUGCACAGGUGUACCCUGCAAGGAAUAAUUUUACAAUGGAAAUGCAUAUCUGUUGAAUUGAUGACUAAACAAGUUUGCGGGCACAUCUCUGAAAAUACAAGCAAAUACAGACAUAGAUUUAAGGGUUCUCAUUCAUUUAAAUCUCAAUGUUGAGAGAAGCCGAUCUUUGGAUAUGAGUAUUUUCUUCCCUGUUUGCGUGAUUGUUUAAUUGAAUGGAUAACUAUGUCUCCUGAAUAUUGUCCCAUAUAAUUGUUUUAAAUCUACCGAAUUAGUUCUCUAAAUCAGUUGAUAUUUUGCAAAGCUUCAAGCUUUAGUUUUUGCACUUCAUGACAUCAAUUGUUUGUGCAGAUUCAAGAUUUAUUUCUGUACUGGAUGAUAGCAGUGAUUAGUGGAUUACUGUCACAUGCUGCUGUUGUCAUCCAUAUCUCCUCAGGUGCCUUAGGUUUGUGAUGCGAAAGUUGUUGUACAUAUGUAAAUUGUUCUGUUCUUCUUUCGCCAAAACAUUAAUAAGCCCGCGAUACACUUUGCUUCUUUUUUAUCUAAUGUCUAUUUGUAGACUAAGUGUUUUAUUUAUGAUAGUGGAUUUCUGGCGUA